rnacentral:rRNA from 1 species
GACGAACGCUGGCGGCGUGCUUGACACAUGCAAGUCGAACGGUAAGGCCCUUCGGGGUACACGAGUGGCGAACGGGUGAGUAACACGUGGGUGAUCUGCCCUGCACUUCGGGAUAAGCCUGGGAAACUGGGUCUAAUACCGGAUAGGACCACUGCCUGCAUGGGUGGUGGUGGAAAGCUCUUGCGGUGUGGGAUGGGCCCGCGGCCUAUCAGCUUGUUGGUGGGGUGAUGGCCUACCAAGGCGACGACGGGUAGCCGGCCUGAGAGGGUGACCGGCCACACUGGGACUGAGAUACGGCCCAGACUCCUACGGGAGGCAGCAGUGGGGAAUAUUGCACAAUGGGCGCAAGCCUGAUGCAGCGACGCCGCGUGAGGGAUGACGGCCUUCGGGUUGUAAACCUCUUUCAGCACCGACGAAGCGCAAGUGACGGUAGGUGCAGAAGAAGGACCGGCCAACUACGUGCCAGCAGCCGCCGUAA